UACGUAGGGUGCGAGCGUUAAUCGGAAUUACUGGGCGUAAAGGGAGCGUAGGCGGAUAUAUAAGUUAGAUGUGAAAUACCUGAGCUUAACUUGGGAAGGGCAUUUAAAACUGUGUAUCUAGAGUUUAUGAGAGGGGGGUAGAAUUCCAGGUGUAGCAGUGAAAUGCGUAGAGAUCUGGAGGAAUACCGGUGGCGAAGGCGGCCCCCUGGCAUAUGACUGACGCUGAUGCUCGAAAGCGUGGGUAGCAAACAGG
rnacentral:rRNA from 1 species